AUGGUUCUUUCGAAUGAGGAAACAGGCUGAUGAUGUCUUCACUCAAGACGAUUCGAGCGCGAUCAGCUAUGAUUAAUCACCGUAACCAGUCAUCAGAUCAUUCUCAUCGCAAUUUUUCGUGGAUUCUUUGGUGAAGUUAUAGUCAGUCUUCUGCUGUUGCUAUAUUCAAUUUUGGUUUAUGAUAUGCAAUUAUAAAAGUCGUUGGGAGGGAUAUUUUGUACUCCUGAGGAAAAAGUAACGAGAGGAAGAAUUUAAAAAAUCCUCCUCUCUCUACUGCAUAUCCUGCAAAUAGUCUUCAGCCAGACCAUAAGAGCGACAAGCACAAGAGUAGGUAGAGGAGGACAGACAGGUCAGAGGGAGGAACAGGGAGAAAGGGUGAUCUUCGGGGAGCCACGUGGUGCGGCAUGCGCGGGACAAUCAAUGCAGUGACGUCAUCACCACCGUUAACCCGACCAAUCACGGAUCCGCUCCAUUCAAACCCGCCAGCCUCGGGGCCUCCAAGUGGAAACUCGGCGAGUUCCAUCGGACUUUGGCCCGACUGCAGUUCAGCCUCGAUCACUGAGAGGCGCGAAUUCGAGCGGUCGGAUGCGCUCCGCACUGCGUACCGUUCACGUCGCUUUCGACAAACGAUUCUUCACAGAGAAUCAUCGAGUCCAUCCAUGACAACGCAUCUUGGGAUCACUAAUGGUAUCACGGCCCGCGAUCGAAUCCUCAGGUGGCGUGACAGAGCUGGCAAAUUGCUUGCUGGCUCUUUGCUUACCUGAGAACGAGAAACCAUGGUGACUAAUGGUCCAGAAGCAGGGACGAGUUCUCACAAGUCGUUGGAGAACGAAACAUCCUGUGCUUGGCAUCUGGACCCAACGAUGAUGGUGCACGAGGAAAUCCUGCGAGGAGAAGCAAUAAAACUGGUGACAGUUCUGGUGAUGGUUCUGACUUAGCGGAGAAAUGACGAAGAGAGAGGUAAGUGGUGUGUAAAAAUAAAAAUAGUAUUCGUUUAUUCUUCUUAUCACAAGAUGUGAAAUUUGAGAAAUAGUGAAUCAAGUUUCGUUUACAUAAGAAUGUAAACGGUAUAAAUCGGAUCACUUCAAUCUGUCACGUGAAAGCUCUGCGAAUGGAGAGAAAUAUUAAUACUUUUUUAUCUUAGAUAUAGCAAUGCAUUGUAUUUCCUUAUUUCCUGGACAAGCAAAUAGCUAUAUAGAUGGUACUUGUUUCUAAUUUAAUGACUCUUGAGUCAAGUUCUACCAGACCAUCGAGUAGUACGAGAUUGAACAUAAUAAGUGUGCGUAGAUAUAGUGGACAAUAUAGCAAAGAUUUAGAUUUAGAAAGCAGAAAAUAAAAUCUUGAUAUUUACGAUACUAUUUACGAUACAUAAUUUACGAAAAUCGUAAACAAAUUCCCGAAUUAAAUAAUUUGUGCUGUGAAAUUAUCUAAAUUUGGAAAAAUGUGAAACGUGUCAGUGCCGUUAUUGUAGCACGUGAUUCAAAGGAUACCCAAACACACGCCUACGCGGAAUUCUCCGCAGACGAGACGCCCACGUUUCGGAAAAUCACCGUACAGCCGUCGCUUUCUCAUGAAAGUGAGAGUACAACGACCUCACUCUUGUCUUGAGAGGCCAGAAUGUUGCAAAGGAAAGAGAAGCUUAACUUUCUUGUCCUCCGCAUAAAAACGUAACUUUGCAAAGUCUCAAAUGCGCGACAAAUAAUAAACAAUGACUAAAAUUAGAAUUGACGUUAACGCUAAAUUUGGCUGCAUCUAAAGUCUCAAUUUAGAAACAAUACUAUAUGCAAAAUUAUUGUCAAAGUUGGGAAAGAUUUGUUAAACUUGUGCAUCUAAGUUUCAAGACACAUGCAUUCCUUCUUUCAGAAAAAUCUCAUGAAUUAUUAUAAUUUUAUCGUAAUUCUUAUUGUGAAGAGAAAAACAACGAAUAUAUUAAUUAUCCAUUUCUUCUUAAUGUUUGGACAAUGAUAGCUUGCGCAAAAAACUCAUUGCGGUAUGACGCAUCUCCGUCACCGUCACCAUCAUUGCCCUACUUUUCAGCCGGUGUACUCGAUCGAGCGGGUUAGGUCUAGAUGCUUCCGCCGCGGCGCGCCACGUAAAUUCUGUGUGUAACUUAAGAAACGAUUUAUAAAAUUAAUAACAAAAUUUAUUUACCGCCCUGCUCGUUUUCUUCUCCGAUAUAACGAAAUAUUCGGAGAAAAAAAAUAUUAGUAAUCUUAUUGACACGAAAAUUUAUACGCGUUAUACUAAUAUCCAACCAUCUAAGAUUUAAUGGCUUUGAUGUUAAUUAAUAAUUAAAGUUAAUUUAACACUUACAACAACAAUUAUGUUUACUUAGCUUUUAAAACGUUAAUACAUGAAUAUAUUAAUGCGAAAAAUUUUCUAUAUUAAUUCGAAUGAGAUAGUAGGAGAAAAUUCGUCAGAAGAAGGGGAAGAAUUUUCUUUGAAUAUUCAUGCACCUUGAUGACAUGGGCUUUGAUACCCUGAAUAUAAUUCGGUAAAAUGCGAGGAUACGUUAUUAUGGGACAUCCUAGGGAACGGGCAAAUUUUCAUAGCGGUCGUUUAGUCCAAUUAAUUGGGUCAAAAUAUGGCCCCUCAUCCUUGUCAUCCUGCACCUUCCGUCGUCAUCGUCGUCGUCUCACCCCUUCCCCUUCCUCCCGAUGCACCACGGCAACCCUGUUACCGAACCCUUGCCCACCCCCCUUUCUCCUUGGAAUGCACGUCACAACGGGGGAGGUUGUGACGUCGGUAGAAUGCGGACAUGCGAUUGGCUGAAAGCUCGCUGACGUCACGGGGGUGAGUCUCUCUACAUGCGCUUGUAUGCAAUCCCCCCUUGGACCCCCUGCUAUCUCGAUCGCAGGUACCCCCUCCUCACGUUCCGCGUCUCACGCGGAAAGGCGCAAUAGGCAUCGAGAAAUGGUGCAUGCCAGUUCAAAGCCACAGUUUUCCAAGGCUGUCCGAUUCGAGAGGUCGCCGUGCGUCUCCCAUAUCUUCUUCGCCGUUCUCCAAUUCUUCGGUUCUCUCCAAGACACCCCUCUACCGCCAUAAAAACCAUUCAUCGCGCAUUCUUCCCGUUCACGUCGACAUACGCACGCUGCGUUCCAUUAAUCCGUUCAUUUCAUCUCGUUUCAUGGGGUUUCGCAUCUCUUCGUGGUAGAUCAUCCCUCUCUCGUCGUUCACCGUAACGUAAUUUAUCUUAGUAUCCGUAUUGUUCAACGAAGAAACGUUACACGAUUUUCUUAUCUCGAGAAAUACAGAAGAGAAGUUUAUAAAAAUUCAUCAUGUAAAUCCCCAUUAUUGUGAUUGUCUUCUCAUAAUAAUCCUCCUAAUUGAUUAAGGAAACAUUAAAGUUGUGUGUGAUCAUUAUUAUAGAUUAUUAUUUCGAAAUAACUGUGCGCGAAAAUUGGCAUAUAUGUUACUAAAAGCAGUUUAGUUUUCAAAAUUUCAUUCUUGAAUUCUUAAUUUAUUUCGUUGUACCUGUUUCGUGUCUUCCACGCUCGAUCUUCUAAAUUACUGAUAUUAUUAUCAUCCAAUCAACAUGUAAUAUGUAAACAGUAUAAUCAAUUGUACGUCUGUGGUCUGUGUCUAGGAAUAUGAUUAAUAAAUAAAAGUUCGAUUUUCUAGAAGCUCUGUAAUACUUUUUAUACCGCUGGUAGUUGAGCUGCUUUAGCCUGACCGAGUUUCCGUGACCUUCGGUAGAAGCGGAUCGAUAAAUCGUUGACAUUGUCAAAUGCGGUAAUUUCUUCUGUACCUUGAUAUAGCAAGCCGUUAUUGAUUAACAAAUAUUCGCUGUUCUGCUUGUUUAAAUUCGUCUGCAUUGUAAAAACCGUAUAUUAAUAGUCUCUUCUGUCGAAUCUUUUUAUAACACCUUCACAAAUUAGUUAACCCAUGUAUUCUUUCGCAGUAUAUAUAUUUAGAAAAUAGUUUCUUACACUUAAAGAUUUUUCUUAAGAGAACGAUAUGUCUUUAAAUCUAAAAAUAAAGAAGUAAAAGGUACAUAAUAAAGUUCUCUAAAUACGUACGAAAUAAUUAUUUCAAAAAUCCAAACUUGUCGUUAAUUACUAUCUCUCAAAACAUUAAAAUAAUAUUUCGAAGAGGAAGUAAUUUAUUGAGGUAAUAAGUAUAUAUAUAAUUAACAAUUAAUAUAUAUAUAUAUAUAUUCUUGAUUCAUGUACUCUAAAAUAAAUUUAUUCUUGAAAGAAUAAAACAAGAAUAAUACAUGGGAUAUCAGAGUGUUUUACGAAAGAGCACGGUGCUUCACGAAAGGCGAUCGUUCAUCGGCUACGAGGCAUCCAGUUGAAAUCUCAUUGAGGCCGCGCUCCUUGGAGCAACAUCCGGGCGAGAUCAUUCAUGAUCGGCGCGUUAAUCGCGCACCGCGCGAUCCUAUCCGCACAUCGGUAGGUGCAUCCUUGGCCGGGCGACAUCGAGUUUCAUAAAUAAAGCCCCAUUGAAGAGAAGUUCACCGGGGGAUGGGGUAGCAUGACCUGCUGACCCAGAUUUCCCAUGACUUGCGUCAUUCACAAUCUCUCCCCACCAAACGCGCGCGCGAGCCUCGGAGACUACACGCAUCUAAAAUAGUCGACGAUACAAAGGAAAGUGGCGAGAGGGAAUGAACGGAUGGUGAAUCGCGGUACUGCGAGCGGCAGACAAUCGCGAAUUGAGCAGCAUCCCCGGUUGAGCAGCCUCCGAUCGACAGUACCAACUCCUUUCAGUCUUCUUUCAAGGACGCGCGAUCGAAAGGUGGUACCGAACCGCGUAAACCAUCUUCGCGAGCGGCUAUUGGAAUCAUGACUCAAUUAUAGAAACAAAGACAAUAAUUGUCGAUUAAUAUUCAGCAAACAGUGCUCUAACAUUUCCAUUGGAUUCGUAUAAGAAUCUUUCUUACGACAGUCGGGAUUAACCCGAUGAACUAUAGUUUCGAUAUAUCCGCGGCGUGAGUUCUGAAGAGAUGAAACAACAACCCGCGAGGGUCGUUUCCGGUCCGUGCCGAAACUUCAAAGCAGCCUGUCGUCGAGAAUUAUUUGACCUAUCGUGACCUGUUGAUAACUUAUCUGUAUAAGUGCGCUUAUCAACGUGGUAGUUUCGUAUGCGUGCACCAUCGGCAAGAUCCUAUGAAAUUUGAAGCUGGAUGGUAUUCGUGUCCAACAAGUGGGUCUAUCACCCCGAGAAUAACUGGAGAGCGCUGACAAACCGAUCGUCGAUGGAUCAGAGCUAUAUAAAUAAAUACUUCAGUAAUAUAACUAUAACAGUAACAUAAUAUAUAACUAUCAAUGGACAAACAGGAAAAAUUAUCACAUUCAGAUGGAGAUAAAAAAUAUUUGUUAAAUAAUUUCAACUUCCGCUAUACCAUGCGGAAUCACGUAUAUGUAACACAUGUUUGUAAGGAACUAAUGUCACAUAUGUAUAACGACGAUAUUUUUACAUUUUAUUUUAUUUUUAUAAAGAUAAAGAAAGAUCUUAUCAAUAACAAAAAUUUUAAAAAUGUAUCUUGGUCUCUGGUGAACAAUUCUCCACCGCAAUGGUAAUAGCGAAUGUAUUUAAUAAUAAUUAAUAUAUCCUUUAAAAUGUAUUAAUGUUUUUUCAAUUUGGUUUUUGCUGUCAAUCUAGACAUCAAAAUAUACGCUGACACUAGAUUUAAAAGUUCGAUGUAAAAAAGUAUCCAAUCCAUAAAAUUGUAAUAUUUAACACGUAUUUGCCAUGUCGUCAGCCUCAAUAAUUUUUUCUUAAAUUUUAAAUAAAAAUAUCACAGUAUACAUGUA